GACGAACGCUGGCGGCGUGCUUAACACAUGCAAGUCGAACGGAAAGGCCCUGCUUUUGUGGGGUGCUCGAGUGGCGAACGGGUGAGUAACACGAGAGUAACCUGCCCUUGACUUUGGGAUAACUUCAGGAAACUGGGGCUAAUACCGGAUAGGAGCUCCUGCUGCAUGGUGGGGGUUGGAAAGUUUCGGCGGUUGGGAAUGGACUCCCGGCUUAUCAGCUUGUUGGUGGGGUAGUGGCUUACCAAGGCUUUGACGAGUAGCCGGCCUGAGAGGGUGACCGGCCACAGUGGGACUGAGAUACGGCCCAGACUCCUACGGGAGGCAGCAGUGGGGAAUAUUGCACAAUGGGAGGAAGCCGGAUGCAGCAACGCCGCGUGCGGGAUGACGGCCUUCGGGUUGUAAACCGCUUUCGCCUGGGACGAAGCGUGAGUGACGGUAAUGGGUAAAGAAGCACCGGCUAACUACGUG
rnacentral:rRNA from 1 species